rnacentral:rRNA from 1 species
GACGAACGCUGGCGGCGUGCCUAAUACAUGCAAGUAGAACGCUGAAGAGAGGAGCUUGCUCUUCUUGGAUGAGUUGCGAACGGGUGAGUAACGCGUAGGUAACCUGCCUGGUAGCGGGGGAUAACUAUUGGAAACGAUAGCUAAUACCGCAUAACAACAGUUGUUGCAUGACAGCUGUUUAAAAGAUGCAAUUGCAUCACUACCAGAUGGACCUGCGUUGUAUUAGCUAGUUGGUGAGGUAACGGCUCACCAAGGCGACGAUACAUAGCCGACCUGAGAGGGUGAGCGGCCACACUGGGACUGAGACACGGCCCAGACUCCUACGGGAGGCAGCAGUAGGGAAUCUUCGGCAAUGGGGGGAACCCUGACCGAGCAACGCCGCGUGAGUGAAGAAGGUUUUCGGAUCGUAAAGCUCUGUUGUAAGAGAAGAACGGGUGUGAGAGUGGAAAGUUCACACUGUGACGGUAUCUUACCAGAAAGGGACGGCUAACUACGUG